rnacentral:rRNA from 1 species
CCUACGGGAGGCAGCAGUAGGGAAUUUUCGGCAAUGGGGGGAACCCUGACCGAGCAACGCCGCGUGUACGAAGAAGUUAUUCGUAAUGUAAAGUUCUUUUAACAGGGAAGAAAGAGCAAUUUGACGGUACCUGAAGAAUAGGCUCCGGCAAACUACGUGCCAGCAGCUGCGGUAUAGGUAGGUGGCGAGGUUUAUCCGGAAUUAUUGGGCGUAAAGGGUGCUUAGGUGGCAUAUUAAGUCUUUGGUAAAAAUGCUGGGCUAAACCCAGUAGGGCAAAAGAUACUGGAAGGCUAGAGUAUGAUAGAGGCAAGUGGAACUACAUGUGUAGCGGUAAAAUGCGUAAAUAUAUGUAAGAACACCAGUGGCGAAGGCGGCUUGCUGGGUGGAUACUGACAUUGAGGCACGAAAGCGUGGGGAGCAAACAGGAUUAGAUACCCGGGUAGUC